rnacentral:lncRNA from 1 species
CUCACAUCUACAAGUAAGAUGAUUAUCAUUAUUUUUAAGAACAGGGUGUGCUGUUUAUUUUGAUUAUACUAAUAUUUCUUUGUGAAAUAAUAUUGUUGAUACUAGUGCAUUGCCGAUAAAACUUUCUUUCAAGAUCCUUCAGAAACCAUCUUCUGGGGUACUGCUCUGAUUUCAAAUGUUUCUUUGCAUUUAAUUUUUUUGCCUGUUAUUUUGAGGUAGUGCUGAUUUGUAUAUGCGGUGUCUCUUCUCCUGACCACAGGGCCGAAGUUUGCAAGUACAUGAAUAAAAUCUUUGUACUUGGUUAAUUAUUAGACAAGCCUGUUGCACUGGAUCGGUUUAGAGCAAUACUUUAUCUUUUCUUUUCAUGUUACCAGUUAGAGCGCGUCAAGAUAUUGUUGACUGAAGAUUUGGCAUCAUAUUUAAGAUAUUAUAACUGAGUUUACUGUUACAAGACUGUGAUAGACUUUGGUGGCUAUGUUCUGAGCUAGGAUUCCAAGCUACUGUCUAGAACUAUAUUUGGCUUUGAUCAGUUCCUCAACUGGUCUCAAGAUGCUCUGCAGUUCUAGACUUCUUUUACUUUUUGUUCCUGACAACGACCUCGAAGCCAUU